AACGAACGCUGGCGGCAUGCCUAACACAUGCAAGUCGAACGAGACCUUCGGGUCUAGUGGCGCACGGGUGCGUAACGCGUGGGAACCUGCCCUUAGGUUCGGAAUAACUCCCCGAAAGGGGUGCUAAUACCGGAUAAUGUCUUCGGACCAAAGAUUUAUCGCCUUUGGAUGGGCCCGCGUUGGAUUAGCUAGUUGGUAGGGUAAAAGCCUACCAAGGCGACGAUCCAUAGCUGGUCUGAGAGGAUGAUCAGCCACACUGGGACUGAGACACGGCCCAGACCCUUAGGGAAGGAAGAAGGGGGAAUAUUGGACAAUGGGCGAAAGCCUGAUCCAGCAAUGCCGCGUGAGUGAUGAAGGCCUUAGGGUUGUAAAGCUCUUUUACCCGGGAUGAUAGUGACAGUACCGGGAGAAUAAGCUCCGGCUAACUCCGUG
rnacentral:rRNA from 1 species